rnacentral:rRNA from 1 species
UAGGGAAUCUUCCACAAUGGACGCAAGUCUGAUGGAGCAACGCCGCGUGAGUGAAGAAGGUUUUCGGAUCGUAAAGCUCUGUUGUUGGUGAAGAAGGAUAGAGGCAGUAACUGGUCUUUAUUUGACGGUAAUCAACCAGAAAGUCACGGCUAACUACGUGCCAGCAGCCGCGGUAAUACGUAGGUGGCAAGCGUUGUCCGGAUUUAUUGGGCGUAAAGCGAGCGCAGGCGGAAUGAUAAGUCUGAUGUGAAAGCCCACGGCUCAACCGUGGAACUGCAUCGGAAACUGUCAUUCUUGAGUGCAGAAGAGGAGAGUGGAACUCCAUGUGUAGCGGUGGAAUGCGUAGAUAUAUGGAAGAACACCAGUGGCGAAGGCGGCUCUCUGGUCUGCAACUGACGCUGAGGCUCGAAAGCAUGGGUAGCGAACAGGAUUAGAUACCCUGGUAGUCCAUGCCGUAAACGAUG